UUGAGUGUCAUGAAUCAUCAAUCCCUCGGGUUUCCGGGGAGAUUGGACUUGGGUUUGCCUCUGGGCUCACCUCAAAUGUGUCAGUGGCCAAAGCUCUGGUUCAGACGUAAUAAGUUUCGUCGGUUCCCUUGUCGAGGUCGCUCAUAACCCCCAUCUUUAUCUCUGACCUCAAAUCAGGUAGGACUACCCGCUGAACUUAA
rnacentral:misc_RNA from 1 species